AGGGAUCAUUACUGAGUUAUCAAAACUCCAAACCCUUUGUGAACCUUACCGUCGUUGCCUCGGCGUGAGCUACGGCUACCCUGUAACUACCCUGGAGCUACCCUAGAGUUACCCUAUAGCUACCCUGCACUUACCCUGCAGCUACCCUAUAGCUACCCUGGAGCUACCCUGGAGCUACCCUGUAGUCGGCUUCGGCCCGCCGAAGGACCGUUAAACUCUUGUUUUUACCACUGUUUCUCUGAAUUUUAAACUAAAAUAAGUUAAAACUUUCAACAACGGAUCUCUUGGUUCUGGCAUCGAUGAAGAACGCAGCGAAAUGCGAUAAGUAAUGUGAAUUGCAGAAUUCAGUGAAUCAUCGAAUCUUUGAACGCACAUUGCGCCCACUAGUAUUCUAGUGGGCAUGCCUAUUCGAGCGUCAUUUCGACCCCUAAGCCCCUGUUGCUUAGCGUUGGGAAUCUACGGCGUAGUUCCUCAAAGUUAGUGGCGGAGUUAGGGUACACUCUCAGCGUAGUAAUUUCUCUCGCUCGUGUGGUGGCCCUGGCUGCUAGCCGUUAAAACCCCUAUACUUUCUAGUGGUUGACCUCGGAUUAGGUAGGAAUACCCGCUGAACUUAAGCAUAUC
rnacentral:rRNA from 1 species